rnacentral:rRNA from 1 species
UGGGGAAUAUUGGACAAUGGGCGAAAGCCUGAUCCAGCCAUGCCGCGUGUGUGAAGAAGGUCUUCGGAUUGUAAAGCACUUUAAGUUGGGAGGAAGGGCAGUAAGCGAAUACCUUGCUGUUUUGACGUUACCGACAGAAUAAGCACCGGCUAACUCUGUGCCAGCAGCCGCGGUAAUACAGAGGGUGCAAGCGUUAAUCGGAAUUACUGGGCGUAAAGCGCGCGUAGGUGGUUCGUUAAGUUGAAUGUGAAAGCCCCGGGCUCAACCUGGGAACUGCAUACAAAACUGGCGAGCUAGAGUAGGGCAGAGGGUGGUGGAAUUUCCUGUGUAGCGGUGAAAUGCGUAGAUAUAGGAAGGAACACCAGUGGCGAAGGCGACCACCUGGGCUCAUACUGACACUGAGGUGCGAAAGCGUGGGGAGCAAACAGG